GAGGAAUUAUUCACAAGCUUAUCUUGUGGUCUGUAGGUGUUGAACAUACUCCAUCAUGAAUAAGGGGCUAGAAAAGAACAGGCAAGUCAAGUGGCUGAUUUUUGCAGCAGAGACGUUCACGAGGCUAAAAGGUUAGGCCAGGAACAACCUUAGUUGAGGCAUUACUA